rnacentral:lncRNA from 1 species
AUUAAAGUUUUCUUUCCUCUAGUUUAUUUUUUUGUAAGAAUACAGUACAUCAUGCAUAUAAAAUGUGUUAGUUGACAUUAUUAGUAAUACAAAAAUGGUUAAUUGACUAUUUAUGUUAUUGGUAAGGAUUCUGGUCACCAGUAGGCUCUCAGUGGCUAAGUUUUGGGGGAGUCAAAAGUUAUAUGUGGAUUUUUCACUGUGAAGGGAUCAGUGCUCCCAACCUCUGCAUUGUUCAAGGGUCAACUGUAUAUUAUUUGUAAUAGGCACAUUACAAAUUAAUGUAAUGCUUUACUUAAGUACAAACUACUAUGGUCUAUACGUUUUGAAAAAAUGGAAAGUUUUGAUUUGAAACUAUUUAGAUAAUUUAGGUGGAAUGUGUUUGGCCCUUAGAUAUUAAUGGUUAUUCUUCAUUUUCUACAUCCCUUUGGUCUUUCUUUUUUCUUCUUCUUUUAUUUAUAUAUACAUUUUGCAUUUAACGUGAUGCUGGAUGGCUCAACAAGUAGAAUACAUUCUAAUAGUUAAUACUAACAGU